rnacentral:rRNA from 1 species
GACGAACGCUGGCGGCGUGCUUAACACAUGCAAGUCGAACGGAAAGGCCCUGCUUUUGUGGGGUGCUCGAGUGGCGAACGGGUGAGUAACACGUGAGUAACCUGCCCUUGACUUUGGGAUAACUUCAGGAAACUGGGGCUAAUACCGGAUAGGAGCUCCUGCUGCAUGGUGGGGGUUGGAAAGUUUCGGCGGUUGGGGAUGGACUCGCGGCUUAUCAGCUUGUUGGUGGGGUAGUGGCUUACCAAGGCUUUGACGGGUAGCCGGCCUGAGAGGGUGACCGGCCACAUUGGGACGGAGAUACGGCCCAGACUCCUACGGGAGGCAGCAGUGGGGAAUAUUGCACAAUGGGCGGAGGCCUGAUGCAGCAACGCCGCGUGCGGGAUGACGGCCUUCGGGUGGGAAACCGCUUUCGCCUGUGACGAAGCGUGAGUGACGGUAAUGGGUAAAGAAGCACCGGCUAACUACGU